GGUAUGCCAAGCUUUUCAUCUUAACAGCCCCCACCUGAGGGCUUUCUCUGGCUCUGUAGCAUCUGGGCUGGGCACAGGUGCAGCCUAUAAGGGUGGGAUUGGUUUCGUGCUCAACCCUCAGCCAAUGAGGGCUAAAAGUUAGUAGAUAAAUACCCUUCCUCCCAGGCCUCACGCACGUAGGUUUUGGGGCAUGUGUUACAGAAGUCUUGGAGGGUCUCAGCAGCAUUGUGCUCCUGGCAUUUGUUAGGCAAUCUGCUCAGCAAUGCACCCUUAUGUGAUUUUUUCUUUUCCCCACUUCCUCACUGGUGCCUUCUGGGACCACUUCUCAAAUUGACUGCCUAUAGCUUUAUCUUAAGGUUUGCUUUUGGGGGAAACAUAAGAUGCUAUUACACAGCCAUAAACUUUUUUUUGACUCUGUGUAUAGUGGAACCAGUUUCCAUCAAUUUUUUAAAAAUUACCUUAUUAUUUAUUUUUGGUUGCCCUGGGUCUUUGUGGCUGAGUGCGGGCUUUCUCUAAUUGUGGUGAAUAUUUUUACAAUAUUGAUAAAUGGGCCCAAAGUGUAAGACACUGCUUAUGAAAACAAUUACAUGAAAAGUAGAAUGUGCAUCAUGAAGAGCCCAAGAAACACUAGAGCAGUGGCCUGCAGGCUACCACCUGAAGCUUAAAAGUUGCUACUUGAGAUUUGGAUCAAAGUAGCAAGCUAUCGCAUCAUCAGUAAUAUAGAUAUGAAUUUAAUACAGCUGACAAUAUGGCUACACCUCUCUUGGAGCUUUGAGGAAUGAAGAAUACAAAAACAAGCCAAUAGCUAUUAUUUUCCUAUAUCCCUGUGCAUCCCUUUAACAUCAAAAUCCUUUGCUAAUGUCAUAACACUCUUCUUGUUCCCCUUUUUCAAACUCUUCAGUUUAACUACUUUGUAGUCCCAGA
ensembl:lncRNA